rnacentral:rRNA from 1 species
UAGUAACGGCGAGUGAAGAGGGAAAAGCUCAAAUUUUGAAUCUGGUGUCUUUGACUCCCGAGUUGUAAUCUAGAGAAGUGUUUUCCGCGUUGGACCGUGUACAAGUUCCCUGGAACGGGGCGUCAUAGAGGGUGAGAAUCCCGUAUAUGCCACGGACUACCAAUGCUCUGUGAUACACUCUCAACGAGUCGAGUUGUUUGGGAAUGCAGCUCAAAAUGGGUGGUAAAUUCCAUCUAAAGCUAAAUAUUGGCGAGAGACCGAUAGCGAACAAGUACCGUGAGGGAAAGAUGAAAAGCACUUUGGAAAGAGAGUGAAACAGUACGUGAAAUUGUUGAAAGGGAAGCGUUUGAAGUCAGUCACGUCUGUCGGAAUUCAGCCUGGCUUCUGCCUGGUGUACUUUCCGUCCGACGGGUCAGCAUCAAUUUCGACCGAGGGAAAAAGACGUGAGGAAUGUGGCUGUCUUCGGGCAGUGUUAUAGCCUCGGGUUGUAUGUCUCGGUUGGGAUUGAGGAACGCAGCGCGCCUAUUGGCCGGGGGUUCGCGCCCCUCGGUACGCGCUUAGGA